rnacentral:rRNA from 1 species
UCAAACGUCCAUAUCACGUUGAAUUCAGCAGUUCUCGCCUGAUCACCGAAAUUAAGUAACAAGCAACGUCGGGCGCGGUCAGUACUUGGAUGGGUGACCGCCUGGCAACACCGCCUGACGUUGGCU